rnacentral:rRNA from 1 species
GAUGAACGCUGGCGGCGUGCCUAAUACAUGCAAGUAGAACGCUGAAGCUUGGUGCUUGCACCGAGCGGAUGAGUCGCGAACGGGUGAGUAACGCGUAGGUAACCUGCCUCUUAGCGGGGGAUAACUAUUGGAAACGAUAGCUAAUACCGCAUAAAAGUCGAUAUCGCAUGAUAUUGAUUUGAAAGGUGCAAUUGCAUCACUAAGAGAUGGACCUGCGUUGUAUUAGCUAGUUGGUGAGGUAACGGCUCACCAAGGCGACGAUACAUAGCCGACCUGAGAGGGUGAUCGGCCACACUGGGACUGAGACACGGCCCAGACUCCUACGGGAGGCAGCAGUAGGGAAUCUUCGGCAAUGGGGGCAACCCUGACCGAGCAACGCCGCGUGAGUGAAGAAGGUUUUCGGAUCGUAAAGCUCUGUUGUAAGAGAAGAACGAGUGUGAGAGUGGAAAGUUCACACUGUGACGGUAACUUACCAGAAAGGGACGGCUAACUACGUGCCAGCAGCCGCGGUAAUACGUAGGUCCCGAGCGUUAUCCGGAUUUAUUGGGCGUAAAGCGAGCGCAGGCGGUUAGAUAAGUCUGAAGUUAAAGGCUGUGGCUUAACCAUAGUACGCUUUGGAAACUGUUUAACUUGAGUGCAGAAGGGGAGAGUGGAAUUCCAUGUGUAGCGGUGAAAUGCGUAGAUAUAUGGAGGAACACCGGUGGCGAAAGCGGCUCUCUGGUCUGUAACUGACGCUGAGGCUCGAAAGCGUGGGGAGCAAACAGG